ensembl:lincRNA
GGAGUAAUUAGCUUUGGCCUGGAGGGUCUCUAAGACCCAGUAGCUCUGUGUGCUAAUGCCUGAAUGUAUAUCCAGCCAGAGUGACUUAUGUGAAUACUUAAGGCCCGCAUAGACAUGGUACACCCCUCCUCUCCUCAGCCUCCCCUCCUCUCCCUUCUUCUAUUAUUAUUAUUAGUGCUAGAGCUACGCUUUUUCUAGCACAGUACGUCAGCUGUAUUGCAAUUUACUGUAUACCAUUGAGAGUCAGAGACGUGAAGACAUUUGCUCACGGUGCUCGGCCAGGAAGUGGCCCAGAGACAGCCAGGUAAGAAUAGAGGGCAGACUGACUUCCCCAGCAGUGCAGAGGUUAAGAAUCUGUGCUUCCAAUGCAGGGGCCGAGAGUUCCAUCCCUGGCUGGGGAACUAAGAUCCCACAUGCCACGCAGGGCAGCCAAAAGAUUAAAAAAAAAAAAAAAAUAGAGGGCAGAGAGAGGAGGUCGAGGGAGCAGGCACUGUGACAGCGGAGAGAAUUCCCAUCUCCUUGCCCUAAAUCUGACACUGAACUGGAUCGAUCAUCCUUGAUGUGAUCACAGACACCCAAAGACACCUGGGACACAGAACACCCCAGGAAGUGGGCUGUUCCCCGAUCGAGGGCUAUUCCUUAGGCUGUGAUCCACAGCCCCAGAAAGGUGCUGAUGGCUGCUUUGGGGGCUGAUUUAUGUUGGUAUCUCCAUUCCUGGUGACUCCCUGGGGCAGCGGAGUAUUUCAUUACAGAGAUCUCAGACUUUCCUAUUCUGUUCCAGGAGCUGGGAGGAUAAGGUGUGUGCUAAGGUGGGUGCUAGUGCCGAGGGAGGCGGAUGUAGGCAGCCUGAGGACCCAGCUGAUGCGAGGAUCCUGGGACGCAGGUUUCCGUCGAUGUAUCAACUACACGGGGAACCAGACACUCCACCGAGGGAGGCUGGAGGCAGGGAUGCCGCCGGCCAGAGCCCAGGGUCCGCGCCAGAUGCUGUUCUGAGAACCUUGGGAGGGCAGAAGCUGGGAGCCUGGUCCCUCCAGACCCUACAGAAUUCGGCCAGUUCGCCACUUGAGACCUGCCAGUUUCUGGAUUUUAAUGGCCUUUUCUCCCAGGCAGAGGUGAAAGAAACCCAGGGAGCCUCCUGGAAAUCCCAUGUGAGUUCUCCUCAAAUACCCCCAAAUAAACAUGCUCUGAGUGCCCUAAACCCCCUUUUAAGAUUUUUGCGCCUAAGCACUCAACAGAGUUCUAGAACUUCCAUCUCCUAA